CCUACGGGAGGCAGCAGUGGGGAAUAUUGGACAAUGGGGGGAACCCUGAUCCAGCCAUGCCGCGUGUGUGAAGAAGGCCCUCGGGUUGUAAAGCACUUUCAGUGAGGAAGAACGCCUGGUGGUUAAUACCCAUCAGGAAAGACAUCACUCACAGAAGAAGCACCGGCUAACUCCGUGCCAGCAGCCGCGGUAAUACGGAGGGUGCGAGCGUUAAUCGGAAUUACUGGGCGUAAAGCGCGCGUAGGUGGCUUGAUAAGCCGGUUGUGAAAGCCCCGGGCUCAACCUGGGAACGGCAUCCGGAACUGUCAAGCUAGAGUGCAGGAGAGGAAGGUAGAAUUCCCGGUGUAGCGGUGAAAUGCGUAGAGAUCGGGAGGAAUACCAGUGGCGAAGGCGGCCUUCUGGUCUGACACUGACACUGAGGUGCGAAAGCGUGGGUAGCAAACAGGAUUAGAUACCCUUGUAGUC
rnacentral:rRNA from 1 species